CAGUAGCCGCGGGAAUACGUAGGUGGCAAGCGUUGUCCGGAAUUAUUGGGCGUAAAGGGCUCGCAGGCGGUUUCUUAAGUCUGAUGUGAAAGCCCCCGGCUCAACCGGGGAGGGUCAUUGGAAACUGGGAAACUUGAGUGCAGAAGAGGAGAGUGGAAUUCCACGUGUAGCGGUGAAAUGCGUAGGGAUGUGGAGGAACACCAGUGGCGAAGGCGACUCUCUGGUCUGUAACUGACGCUGAGGAGCGAAAGCGUGGGGAGCGAACAGGAUUAGAUACCCCCGUAGUCCCUGUCUCUUAUAC
rnacentral:rRNA from 1 species